GGGGGUUUGGUUCAAUGGUAGAACAGCGGUCUCCAAAACCGUUGAUGUGGGUUCGAUUCCUUCAACCCCCGCCA
rnacentral:tRNA from 1 species